CCCUCCACUUACCUGGGAGCUUACCUGGUCAACUCGGUUCAUUAGACCGGAUUGGAGGCUUAGGUGCCCUCUUCAAACCAGUUAGGAGCUGUCUAGUGAUUUUAGGACAAAGACUAGGAUUGAUAUGCUUUUCUCUUUUAUUGCAUGCUUGAUUGAUCGAGUACUAGUGUAUGCACGGUAGUCGUUCUAGAGUACAAAACCCAUUACCUUUUGACCCUGAAAUAGAACGAACCCUUAGGAACAUUCGAGCUAAGAUCAAAACAUUAGGAUCAUCCCCACCUCUUAAGAUGGCUGAAGAACAACCCAAACUCCUGAGGGAAUACUUUACUCCCACUAUUUACACUUCCCCAUCUUACAUUCGAUUACCUGAGGUAGCAGCUGUACAAUAUGAAAUAAAGUCUAGUGUGAUCCAAAUGCUUCCAUCUUUUUAUGGGCUC
rnacentral:lncRNA from 1 species